AUGAGUGGAUCGCCCUCCCUGCCAAAAGGAAGGCUUUGUCCACAUAGAUGCAAGAUUUGAAGGCUGCGUUGAGGUGGUCGACGACACGUUCGUGUGCAUAAGUGGGCCGUAUGAAAAGGACGAUGGCAACAAGGCUGCUUACUUUUGCCGCAAGAACUUUUACGCCCUCAGCGUCAUGGUGGUAUGUGACCAACCCUGCCGAUGACCGCCCUCGCACUCGGGGCCCGUGCACGACGCCUUUAUGUGGAAGACAUGCACCGUGAGCCAGGACUGGGCAGUGGACGCCGUGGCCAGGUGAUAGUGCAUACUCGCUUCAACCUUGGCUGCUUAACCCCAUCCCUGGAGCACAUCCUGCAGAAUCCUCUGCUGCCCGAUUCCACCGCACCCACUCUUCACAGCGGUGCGUCGUAUAACUGUGCACUGGAGUCCUCAAGGCCCACUUUCGGUGCUUGCAGAGGUACAGAACACUGUACUAUGGCCCACUCUUCACGUCGAAGAUCAUCGCAGUUUGUGUCGUGCUUCACAACCUCGGUGUUUGGCAGCAGCUGCCUGAGCUAGACGACAUCCCUUGCACUGAAGAACUCGAUGAAGAAUAUGCCGACCUUCACAACAACAAUAGCGACGAUACGACUGCAGUAGACAUGAACCAGGCGGGUAGGCAAAGGCAGGAUCACGCUCUGUAGUGGUUCACAGCUGGGCACGACUCGAUGUAAUGGAGUUUACAUUCCUGCGAGAUGUGCACAGAAACGUGAAACACAGAAGCUCCUGCUGUUUCUCAUGACAAAGUAGCCACUUGCAUUGUGUUCGAUCCUAUACCUAUCCCCUGUACUUGUGUUCUUGCAGGAAUUAUAUUCUGACAAAAGCUUCAUUGUGUUCAUUCAUUGAGAGCAUGCUAAUUGUACCAAGCAAUUAGGCAAAAGCGUGCUCAGUUUUUGCCGCAAAU